GGGGAUUUAGCUCAGUGGUAGAGCGCUUGCCUAGCAAGCAGGAGGCCCUGGGUUCGGUCCCCAGCUCCG
rfam:Rattus norvegicus chromosome 4, whole genome shotgun sequence.